AAAAAGACAAACCUUGGAUUUUUUUGUCUAACUUUAACUAUCCGUCUCAUAUAAAAUUUUUUUAUAAUUCCUAUUUUCAUUGUUGUUAGAUGAUAAAACAUGAUUAAUAUUUUAUGCGUGACUUGUCUUUUUAAUUUUUUUCUAUAAUUUUUUUAAAUAAGACGGACGGUCAAACGUUGGGCACGGAAAUCAGCGUUCGUCUUUUU
rfam:Oryza barthii chromosome 6, whole genome shotgun sequence.